rnacentral:rRNA from 1 species
UGGGAAUUUUGGACAAUGGGGCAACCCUGAUCCAGCAAUGCCGCGUGAGUGAAGAAGGCCUUCGGGUUGUAAAGCUCUUUUGUCCGGGAAGAAAUCCUCUUGGUUAAUACCUGGGAGGGAUGACGGUACUGGAAGAAUAAGCACCGGCUAACUACGUGCCAGCAGCCGCGGUAAUACGUAGGGUGCAAGCGUUAAUCGGAAUUACUGGGCGUAAAGCGUGCGCAGGCGGUUGUGCAAGACCGAUGUGAAAUCCCCGGGCUUAACCUGGGAACUGCAUUGGUGACUGCACGGCUAGAGUGUGUCAGAGGGGGGUAGAAUUCCACGUGUAGCAGUGAAAUGCGUAGAGAUGUGGAGGAAUACCGAUGGCGAAGGCAGCCCCCUGGGAUAACACUGACGCUCAUGGCACGAAAGCGUGGGGAGCAAACAGGAUUAGAUACCCUGGUAGUCCACGCCCUAAACGAUGUCAACUAGUUGUCGGGUCUUAAAUUGACUUGGUAACGCAGCUAACGCGUGAAGUUGACCGCCUGGGGAGUACGGUCGCAAGAUUAAAACUGCAAAGGAAUUGACGGGGGUCAUAGCUGA